UACGGAGGGUGCAAGCGUUAUCCGGAUUCACUGGGUUUAAAGGGUGCGUAGGUGGGCAGGUAAGUCAGUGGUGAAAUCUCCGGGCUUAACCCGGAAACUGCCGUUGAUACUAUCUGUCUUGAAUAUAGUGGAGGUGAGCGGAAUAUGUCAUGUAGCGGUGAAAUGCUUAGAUAUGACAUAGAACAUCGAUUGCGAAGGCAGCUCGCUACACUAUGAUUGACACUGAGGCACGAAAGCGUGGGGAUCAAACAGG
rnacentral:rRNA from 1 species